ACGGUGCGGGGGUGGGGUGCCAGCCCUCGCUAGGUGCGGUGAGCCCUAGGGGAACCCGGAUUAGGGUGGGGGUCCCAGCUCUGCCAGGGGCCCCAGCUGCCUCCUCUGAACCGUGGGGCUGGUUUCCUUCCCUGAUCUGGACUUCGGGGGCUCUGGAGGCCCCCUGCGCCAGUCUCCCCCUAGCCUGUGUGUGUGGCAGCAGUGAAUCUGGAAUUCUAGACUGGACAGUGGAGCCCAGGGGUGUCAGUGCUCUGCCUGCGGACUGCGUGACCUUGGGCCGACCUUGCACUUCUGACCCUCAGUGCCCCCACCUACAACGUGAAGGCUUAAAAUGAGCCAUCUCAGAGGUGGAAAGAGGGAACCCCAGUACCACCAAGAGAGAAGACCUGGAGUGGAGCUUGUCCUUUGAACCUGGGAUCCCUGUGCUGAGAACCUCCUAGACCCAGGAGACAGAGCUGUAACACCAGAGAUGCAGGCCAGAGGCCAGGCUGGCCCAAGAUGGCUGAGCGGCAGAGGGUUCGAGAUGUCAAGGGCCAGAGAGAGGCCUGCCUGCAGGCAUGGCUGAGAAGAGGCUGUCCUGAUGGAAGAACUAUAUCCUGAACUGUAACCUGUUACUUCCCUAAUAAACCCCAUAAUUGUGAGUAUUGUCUGUGAGUUCUGUGUGGCCACUGCCACGGAUUAUGGAACCCAGCAGAGAAGUAGAGGGUGCUGUGGGAGAGAGGGAUGGCUGGUGUCAGAAUUGGUAAAAUGAUUGAAGAAUGGAGGCAUGUCUGACCUCCACCUCGUAGGAAUCAGCUUUGGGCUGUUGAUGCUGAUAAUGGUUCUCUGUCCCCCUCAUGAAGUUAGAGGAGGAGGUCAGGGCUGCUGCCAUGCCAUUUUUACAUCUCUAACAUGCCAUUUUUAAACCAACCAUCCUGGUUGCCCUGGGACUGAGGGGUUUCCGAGGACAUGGGACUUUCGUUGCUAAAAAGGAGAGUCACCCUAACUUCAGGCCACACACCUCGCAAGUGACAGUGUCUGUGUUCAAACUCUGGCUGGAAGCAGACUGUCACAUCUUUCUCCUGCGGAGCCGUUGGUGGGUUUGAACUGCUGACCUUUCAGAUAGCAGCCAAGGGCUUAACCACUGUACCACUGGGGUGCCUUUCGUAAAGAUUACAGUGUAAAAAAUCCAAUGGGGCAGCUCUACUUUGUCACAUGGGGUCGCUGUGAUUCAAAAUCAACAUCAUGGUACCUACCAACAAGUAAACUUGAUUCUAUCAAGUACUUUUCUCUGUGAGAGUCAUUAUCCUCAACACUUCCUAUGCAUUCAAGCCCAGGGAAGUUGAUGCCACUUUUGAGGUGAAGAUUGGAGAUUCAGAGAGGUUAAGUGACCUGUCCGAGGUGACACAGACAGUAAGGGGCAGGGCCAGCGCUUGUGGCGUUCUGAAGUCUUUCUUCUAGAGCUUAACCCCACUGAUGGCAGUUGGUGGUUGUAUGGGACACAGGCCCAGGGUGGGAGGGAUUGCUGAGAGCCCACAGGCGCCAGGAGCCCUGUCUCUCCGUCAGACGAGCUGGCCUGCUUCUUGCCAGUAGUGGUAGGACAGGUUGUAAGGACAAGCCCUUUGCCCAGGCUGGGCUGCCCCCCUCCCCCGCCACAGUGGGCAGGCUGCCCGAAUCCUCUGCAGCUGCUGUUCCCUCUCAGUCAGCCAAGCCUGGAGCAGUCCGGGACAUUGUGUCCAAAGACAGGGCCAGGCAGGCCCCAUCCCCCUACCCAGUGACCUCCCACCCUGCCCCUCUGGGCCUCAGGCCAGCCUGGCCUGUCCCUGGGCCUGGUACGAGCUGGAGGCCAGGACAGUGUCUCUGCUCUUCCUGGCUCACUGUAGCCCCUGGCUUAGAGGGGUGGCCGCCAAGUCUUCAAGGGGUAGGCUCCCCAGAGUCCCCCUCAGGAGGGGCCAGCUGGGCUACCGGGACACCUGUUUCCCUGCCCUUGGCAUUUUUGCAUUGCGUGUCCCAAAAUGCCAGCUGAGCCAAGGUGAGAGGCUCCCUUGGGCAGAGAACCGACUAUGUAGGGGCCUGUGCCCAUGUGGGCUGGACGUAGCCUGGUCUCCCCACUUCAUGGAUGAGAAAGCUGAGGGUCAGAGAAAGGAGGAGAAGCAUGUGAAAGCACACAGCCGUGAGCUGAGACUCCACUGUGCCAAGCAGGAAGGGGCUGGGGGCAGGGACAGCUGGAAGGGGCAGUCUCAGAGGGGUCUCUCUGGGCUCCUUCAUACAUCUCAGGUCUCAGUUUACUGCUGCUUACUCAGAGAAGCCUUCCCUGACACCUCGUGUCUAGAGGAGAACUCCCCGUUCCCAAUACUGUAUUCUGUUCUGUGUCAUGUCAUCCUGGUCUGUUUCCUUGAGAUGUAUCUCUGCCUGGACUUUCUUGUUUAUUUGUCAUAUUUAUUGAUUAAAAGUGAGGACGGACAUGUUAUCAGGAAGGACCAGCCCCUGGAGAAGGACAUCAUGCUUCAUAAAGUAGAGGAUCAGUGAAAAAGAGGAAGACGCUCAACAAGAUGGAUUGACAUAGUGGCUGCAACAAUGGGCUUAAGUGUAGCAAGGGUUGUGAGGAUGGCGCAGGACCAGGCGGUGUUUUGCUCUGUUGUACACAGGGUUACUAUGAGUCGGAAUCAACUUGAUGGCACCUAACAACAAUUGAUUAUCUUGCCUGAUAGAACGUGGUCCCCAGAGGAGGGACUUUGUCUUGCUCCCAGCUGCCUCUCCAGUGCCAAGAACAGGGUCUGAUACCUAGUAACCAGUUGCUGUCGAGUUGACCCCGACUCGUGGUGACCCCAUGAGUAUCAGAGUAGAACUGUGCUCCACAGGGUUUUUAAUGGCCGAUUUUUCAAAAAAAAAGUAGAUCUCUGGGGGAGAUGAGAGGGCAGAGGGGGUUAGAAGCUGGAGGAAUGGACACGAAAAGAGAGAGUGGGGGGAAGGAGUGUGCUGUCUCAUUAGGGGGAGAGCAGCUAGGAGUAUACAGCAAGGUGUAUAUAAAUUUUUGUAUGAGAGACUGACUUGAUUUGUAAACUUUCACUUAAAGUAGAAUAAAAAUUAAAAAAAAAAAAAGAAAGGUAGAUCUCCAGGCCUUUCUGCCAAGGAGCCCCUGGGUGGACUUGAACCACCAAUCUUUUGAUUAGCAGUAGAGCACAUUAGCCAUCUGCAUCACCCAGGGACUCCAGCACAUAAUACCAAAAAAAAAAAGAAAAAAUCCCCAAAACCCCGAACUGGUUGCUGUUCAGUUGAUUCCGACUCGUAGUGACCCUAAGUGAGUGUGCAGCGUAGAACUGCCCGACAGGAUUUUCAAAGCUGUGACCUUCCAGAUCACCAGACCUUUCUUCCAAGGCACCUCUGGGUGGGUUCAAACCAACAACUUUUCUGUUAGUAGUCAAGGGCUUAGCCAUUUGUUCCACCUAGGGACACCCUAGCACAUAAUGGUGUUGUGUGCCAUCCAGUCAAUUGCGACUCAUAGUGACCCUAUUGGGCACAGUAGAACUGCCCCAUAGGGUUUUCUAGGCUGAACUUUUUUCCCCCAGGAGAAAGGGGUAUUUUUUAUUGUUCUUGCAACUUUUUUUUGUAAGUUUAAAAUUGUUUUUAAAAGAAAAAAGAACGUGUCCAAGAUUACCUAUCUAGUUAGAAGUAGGAUUCAAACGCAGCUUAGGAACAAGCUCUCCAUCCCUACUCUCUACUGGUUUAUAUUUUAUUUUUUAUUGUGCUUUAGGUGAAAGUUUAGAGCUCAAGUUAGUUUCUCAUACAAAAAUUUAUACACACAUUGUUAUGUGACCGUAGCUGCUCCCCCUAUAAUGUGACCACACGUUCCUCCUUUCCACCCCAGAUUUCCCUUGUCCGUUCAGCCAGCUCCUAUCCCUUUCUGCCGUCUCAUGUCGCCUCUGGACAGGAGCUGCCCAUUUAGUCUCGUGU